rnacentral:rRNA from 1 species
CUGGCGGCAGGCCUAACACAUGCAAGUCGAACGGUAACAGGAAGAAGCUUGCUUCUUUGCUGACGAGUGGCGGACGGGUGAGUAAUGUCUGGGAAACUGCCUGAUGGAGGGGGAUAACUACUGGAAACGGUAGCUAAUACCGCAUAACGUCGCAAGACCAAAGAGGGGGACCUUCGGGCCUCUUGCCAUCGGAUGUGCCCAGAUGGGAUUAGCUAGUAGGUGGGGUAACGGCUCACCUAGGCGACGAUCCCUAGCUGGUCUGAGAGGAUGACCAGCCACACUGGAACUGAGACACGGUCC